GACGAACGCUGGCGGCGUGCCUAAUACAUGCAAGUCGAGCGGAGUUUAUCCUUCGGGAUAAGCUUAGCGGCGGACGGGUGAGUAACACGUAGGCAACCUACCCCUCAGACUGGGAUAACUACCGGAAACGGUAGCUAAUACCGGAUAAUUCCUUUCUUCUCAUGAAGAGAGGAUGAAAGGCGGAGCAAUCUGCUACUAAGGGAUGGGCCUGCGGCGCAUUAGCUAGUUGGUGAGGUAACGGCUCACCAAGGCGACGAUGCGUAGCCGACCUGAGAGGGUGAACGGCCACACUGGGACUGAGACACGGCCCAGACUCC
rnacentral:rRNA from 2 species